rnacentral:lncRNA from 1 species
CAUCAUUUUAACAAACGAACAAUAGGUCAAAUUUAUUAGCCGGGAUAAUGGGCGGCGGAUAUUAGCGCCCGAACCGCAGCCUCCCAAACCCGAAAUCUAACGAAGCUGCAAUUAGCAGACGUUCCCCUCUCCUCCCGGCCGGGGCUGCUUCCCUGCAGCCGAGCGGGGCUGUGAGGGCGCGCUGCUGGUGAAACUGUCAUUUGCCGAGGGGCUUGGGGGGGGGGGGGGGGAGGUUCGUUUUCUUCCAAAUUUUCUGCAUCUGAACAAAACCCAAACCAUGUGAAUCCUUUCUAUUACAAUGGAGUUGCAACCGCGGAACGAACCUGCGGGAUCCUGGACACCCCACCGCCGCGGGAGCAACGAAAGGGGUGCACAGUGGGGCGCAAGCUCUGCGCUACCUGCGCACUGGGUGAGGACAGCACCGGAGCGGACCCCGCGCUCCCAAGAACCCCGACCCGCGUGGGGAGAAUCCGCCCCCGCCUGGGCUUCGGCCGCGGCGUCGCGGCCACUUUGGAGACACUCCCUGGCACCGGCCAGAAGGACCGAGGCGCGACUCUCAGGUGCCCAUGCGUGCCGGGCCGGGCUGAACGGGACCCGAGGUUGCCCGGUGAGGAGCGAGAUCUGGUCCCUCGAAAUUCGUUGCAGGAUGGACUGGACUGUGGACCCGCGGGGGAACCUGCCCUUGAUUUCUCUACUAAAUUUGACUCCGUUUCAACACUUUUGUUGGGCAAAUUACAUUAAGAUGGAUGUUGCAGAAAGGGCACAGAAUGGAACUUAGCCUUCCUAGGAAGAUCAGGAUUCUGUUCCAGAUUUCUGGGGAGAAACCUUUAGCCAAACCUUUCCAGUGAAGGCCAGGUAAGAGCCGAGGCUGGAAGAUCCCUGCCUGUGUAUAACUCCUCCCCCUGGGCGUGGUCUGGUCCUGGUGACUGGACUUCAAUGAAGAGAAUACAGAAGUGACUGGUGCCCCUCUGCGGUUAGGUUAUGAGAGGCUGUGACUUCCAGGGUGCUGUGUUCUUCCUUGCUCUGGUAAAACAAGAUGCUGUGCUGUGAGCCACCCUAUGGAGAGGCCAUUUGGCUAGGAGCUGAGGCUCAGUCCACCAACCCAUGAGGGGCGGACUCCUGCCCACAGCCACGAGGACGUGUGGAAGCAGGUCCUUCCCAGCGAGCCUUGUGGUGAACAGGGCCUAUAAGACCCACCACAGCCUGGGAGACCCAGAGGCAGAGCAUCUGCAGGAACUGUGAGAUAAGCAGUGCUGUUUAAGCCACUGUGAAAGCACUAGUUGCUCAGCUGUGUCUGACUCUUUGCCACCGUAUGGACUGUCGUCCGCCAGGCUCCUCUUUCCAUGGAAUUCUCCAGGCAGGAAUACUGGAGUGGGUUGCCAUUCCCUUCUCCAGGGGAUCUUCCCUACCCAGGGAUCGAACGUGGGUCUUCUGCAUUGCAGGCAGUUUCUUUACCAUUUGAGCCACUGGAAAAGCCUCUAUGUUUUGGGGUAAUUUGUUAUCUAGCAAUAGAGUUCUGAAAAACACAUGGAAAUUGAUACAAACAUUAACUGGUUUCAACUUACCAUUCUCAAAUAUAGGUUUUGGAAGAGAUCUCAAGAAUGCCUGUGAGGUGACACAGACCUGGGAUCAAAUAUUGCCUGUGUAAGCUGGUACCACCUCUGAGCCUCAGUUUCCUCAUCUGACACGGGGGCUGAGGGCACAGUCCCCUAGCUGAGUGUGCCUGCCUGGCACAGGUGCUCUGCACACCCAGCGCUGUGAGCAGGCCCUGCUGAGGUGGGGUGGGCAGGCCUGACAAGUCCUCCUCCCCAGCGGGCCUCCAAGGCUGCGACAGAGCCCUGGGCUGCUGAGAAGCCACCAGGCGGCCUCUGGGGGCGUGGUCAAGAAAAGCAAGCACACACGGUGAUUCUCUUGUGACCGUUUUAGUGCAAAUGACAUGGUGCUUUUAGGUCUUGGAACAUUUUAUUGUUUAUUUAUUUAGGCCACGCCCCACAGCUUGUGGGAUCACAGCUCCCUGACCAGGGAUUGAACCUGGGCCAUGGCAGUGGAAGCCCAGAAUCCUAACAACUAGGCCACCAGGGAACUCCCAGGUCUUGAACUUAAAAAAAAAAAAGUCCCAGAAUGGGACAGGCUUUCUAUGAAGGAUUUUUUUGGGAUGGGUAGUAUGCAGUAAUUAGCCCCCGAGAAAGAGAAAAUUCUCAAAUCAGAUUUCUCUAAAAAGUUAAGUUUUAUGAAGUUCAGAAUUUGCCUUCUCAUGGAAAAUUAUUUAUCCUACUGAUAAUGAAACACAGUGUAAGGCUGAGGCUUACUUCUCUCUUAGAUACCAGAAAUAACCCUACUUAGAACACACUUUUCCCUGACUUCCUGAGUUCACAUAUGGAAGACAAAUUUUUAGAUACACUUGGGUAACUUUGCUUUUAUGUGACAAGCCUGUUAUAAAACUCAACUAUCAAGAAAAAUUUCAAGAAAUAACUAGUCUGAGAAAUGAGAUUAUAAAAGGAGCCUGCGGAUUUACCUCUUCAACAGUAAGGCCAACCUUUCAUGUCUUAUCAGAAAUAAAGGGAAUAAUAUUUAUUAUAAGCCUGAACCA